GAAACCGUGGUUAAUACCGGAUACUCCGGGACCCCCGCAUGGGGGCGCCGGGAAAGCCCUGACGGCGAGGGAUGGGCCCGCGGCCUGUUAGCUUGUUGGCGGGGUAACGGCCCACCAAGGCGAUUAUGGGUAGCCGGGUUGAGAGUCCGGGAAGCCAGAUUGGGAGUGAGACACGGCCCAGACUCCUACGGGAGGCAGCAGUGGGGAAUCUUGCACAUUUUGAAGGAGCCUGAUGCAGCGACGCCGCGUGCGGGA
rnacentral:rRNA from 1 species